rnacentral:rRNA from 1 species
CCAUCGGAUGAACCCAGACGGGAUUAGCCAGCAGGUGGGGUAACGGCCUACCUGGGCGACGAUCCCUAGCUGGUCUGAGAGGAUGACCAGCCACACUGGAACUGAGACACGGUCCAGACUCCUGCGGGAGGCAGCAGUGGGGAAUAUUGCACAAUGGGCGCAAGCCUGAUGCAGCCAUGCCGCGUGUAUGAAGAAGGCCUUCGGGUUGUAAAGUACUUUCAGCGGGGAGGAAGGGUAAAGGGUUAAUAACCUUUUUCACUGACGUUACCCGCAGAAGAAGCACCGGCUAACUCCGUGCCAGCAGCCGCGGUAAUACGGAGGGUGCGAGCGUUAAUCGGAAUGACUGGGCGUAAAGGGCACGCAGGCGGUCUGUGAAGUCGGAUGUGAAAUCCCCGGGCUUAACCCGGGAACGGCAUUCGAAACUGGCAGACUGGAGUCUUGUAGAGGGGGGUAGAAUUCCAGGUGUAGCGGUGAAAUGCGUAGAGAUCUGGAGGAAUACCGGUGGCGAAGGCGGCCCCCUGGACAAAGACUGACGCUGAGGUGCGAAAGCGUGGGGAGCAAACAGGAUUAGAUACCCUGGUAGUCCACGCCGUAAACGAUGUCGAUUUGGAGGCUGUUCCCACUGAGGAGUGGCUUUCGUAGCUAACGCGUUAAAUCGACCGCCUGGGGAGUACGGCCGCAAGGUUAAAACUCAAAUGAAUUGACGGGGGCCCGCACAAGCGGUGGAGCAUGUGGUUUAAUUCGAUGCAACGCGAAGAACCUUACCUGGCCUUGACAUCCACGGAAUGGCGCAGAGAUGCGCAGGUGCCUUCGGGAACCGUGAG